rnacentral:rRNA from 1 species
UGGGGAAUCUUGCACAAUGGGGGCAACCCUGAUGCAGCGACGCCGCGUGAGCGAUGAAGCCCUUCGGGGCGUAAAGCUCUUUCGACCGGAACGAUAAUGACGGUACCUGGAGAAGAAGCUGCGGCUAACUACGUGCCAGCAGCCGCGGUAAUACGUAGGCAGCGAGCGUUGUUCGGAGUUACUGGGCGUAAAGAGUGCGUAGGCGGCGAGCCAAGUUUGGUGUGAAAUCUCCCGGCUUAACCGGGAGGGUGCGCCGAAAACUGGUUGGCUGGAGUAUGGGAGAGGAUAGCGGAAUUCCUGGUGUAGCGGUGAAAUGCGUAGAUAUCAGGAGGAACACCUGCGGUGUAGACAGCUUUCUGGACCAAAACUGACGCUGAGGCACGAAAGCGUGGGUAGCAAACA